AUUGAACGCUGGCGGCGUGCUUAACACAUGCAAGUCGUGCGGUAACAGGCGUAGCAAUACGUGCUGACGAGCGGCGAACGGGUGCGUAAUACAUGGGAAUCUGCCCUUUAGUGGGGAAUAACCCGGCGAAAGCCGGGCUAAUGCCGCAUAAGAUCUUCGGAUGAAAGCGGGGAGUCGUAAGACCUCGCGCUGAUGGAGUGAGCCCACUGUCGGAUAGUCUAGUUGGUUGAGGUAACGGCUCACCAACGGCGACGAUCCGUAGCUGGUCUGAGAGGAC
rnacentral:rRNA from 1 species